UAGCUCUUAAUUGAGAUCACCUGUCACACACCCCUUUAUUAAAGGUGAACACAAUGGGUUUGGUUUACUUUUCGCAUCGGCCUGUGUCAAUCGAGGUUGAGUUUAGUGAGGGUUGAAAGUUUUCGAUCUAGAUUGCCGAGCACAAUUGUCACUUUAUACAAACUGUAAGUAUGCGUUGUUGAGUGUUUGUUUUUGUGGGCAUUUGACUUAACAGACAAUAUUGCUACCAACAUGGCACUUCAAAACAGACCACCGCAGUGUUAGAUGACUGACAAGAUCUAUGGGGGGGCCCCCUUUGGGCCCCCCCAUACCAACUUAGUCUUCAAAGGAAUCUAGUGCCAUGGGACUCCAGUGUCUUCAAAACAUCCUCGGAAUACAUGUGUAUGAAGGGUCCACCGAAGGGUUGAUCUGGAAGCCACCACGGUCCACGCAGUAAUCUGCUGCGUGGGCCGUAGUGGCUUCCAGAGCCAUUUUUCGGUCUUGGUCAGGAUUUGUUACGGUUGCCCUUCAAUGUAGCAGGCUACGGCUUUCUGAAGAAGCCUGCUUUACGUAGCAUUGGAGUACAAAUAUUGUGCAAAAUGCUCAUGUUAUUGCACUAGCACUGGUAACCUGUAGAUUAGCUUAGUUUAACGUCAUUCCGUGCUGUCUGUGUCAAAUGUGUGGCUUACUUUAAGCCCACAAGGCCCUCUGGUAAACCACGUUGGAACACCCCUGGACAAGGUGAUUAGUCACUGGGUGUGUGCUAAAGUUUUGUUCCAUUUUUCACUAGUUGGUUAAGGUUUGGUAGAAUUGUUUGGAUGCUAGCGACGUGAUGGCGUAUGUACAAGAGCCUACCGUGGCCAGGCCACAGUUGCGACGGCCACGGCCAGAUGGCCUAGUGUGAGUGCAACCUUGAUUGUAUUUGUAUACUGUUUACCAUUGGAUGUUUAUGCAAUUUGGCUUAAUUCAUCCGCUGUAAAGCUGCAUUCCAGGGUCGUCUUGUACAGGCUUUCAAUUGACCAUGUUGACUAGUUUGUGGGAAUUUUUUUUUUAUUUUACCCUUGCUUACAAUCCAACGGUUGCGACCACUUAUGCAACUGGGCUGUGAACCUUGCAAUUCUAGUUGCAUAUUUGUACACCCAAGCUUGUCCAUUUCUAUCGACAUCACUAACACUAACUUCAGUAUUUCCUUGUAGGCCAUUAGCUGACUUGUGUAUUGGAGCGAUGAUUUGGGUAUUUUAAGAUGCUUGAAAACCUAAAAUAAAGCAAAAUGCGUGUCUGGUGUGCAAGAGCCAAUUUGUUAGCUUGCAGUAGUUGAGGAGUUGCCGUAGGUUGUAAGCGAUCUGGAGGUUGUGGCAAUGGAGGCUUGUGGUAGAUCUGCCAUCCAAGAAAGGUUAAUUAUUCUGAAGCAUGAUUAAUAGUUUAGUAAAUUGAAUCUAUUCAUAUAGAACUAUAAAAUCCAAGACUGCAGCCAGUAACUUGGAUCGCAAUGUGUGGAAAGUAUUAGUCUUCAUUUGUAACAGAAUAAUUAACAUGACUAACUGGGUUUCUUCCAUUUUCUAACUAGGGGGACUUGACUGGUGAGUCUACUGGAUUAAUCAGUAGCGGUACUUUGCCCAACAGAUUUGAUUGCAUGACUACAGGGUGACAAUUAUUCCCUGCCUAUCAAAAGAGACUUCUAAAACAUAUCUGCUAGAACAGUUCCUAUACUUUUUGUAUAAUUUGGUCAUGCUGCAAAUUUACUUUUUGUAGUUGCUCCAUAUUUGGUUCUUUGACAGCCUCACCUGCUAGAAACGUCUAUUCAAAUCGGCUAAAUAUAAUGAAUUAAAUUAAUAGCCAUGAAAUGUUGUCACUCAUACUAAUGGCAAAUACCCUCUUUCAGUUGGUGGUUCAACACUGAUGUCUCUCUAGGCUUGAGGGAGAGCUCACAAGUAAAUUACACAAAUGUCCUGGAGCAAUUGGGAAUACACUUUUAUUUAGUCUACCUGACCAGGGACAUCUUUGAACUAUAGGUCACCUAACCCAAACUUUUCACUCUUGUUAGGUUGUCCUUUUCUCUUGUUUUAACCCGAAAGGGCUGAAAAUAUCAACAUUUCAGGUAUUCUGUUUGGAUAAUGUGCAAAACUUGUGGCUACACUAAUAAAAAAAAAUAACGAAUGUAUUUUCUUAAUGUGGUUCAAAGUUUCCAUGGAAGCUCUCGGCUGCUGGUUCCCAACACGGCUCCACUGUUAGCCUGUGACCUUGCGUUUAACUUUUUUGGACUUUUGGUGACUUUCACAAGAGAAAUGAACUGGUUAAUACAAUAAACAAGACAUUUGAAACCUCAGCUACAUUUUUAUCUAUUUGUACUGCCUUUGAUUUCAACCCGUGACAUGUUUGUCAGGUGAUAACUAUGUACCUGUGACCGCAUAUCAUGGUACCAUUUUGAACUGUUUGUGGAUAUUGCAUUAAAUCCAUAUGCUCCUUUUGGUCAAAAGGAGCCGGCACCACACCGCUUAUGAGAUAACAAAAGUGAAUGUUUAUUUCUCUUAUAACUGUCAUUAAAGAGGCCUGAUUCUCAUAUGCAUGUUGGAUGGCUAGGGUGUAGGUCUGGGAAGAACUUCAGGCCAAAAUCUUGCAAGCGAGCCGCUGGUCACAGGUGCAACGAG
ensembl:lncRNA